rnacentral:rRNA from 1 species
UGGGAAUUUUGGACAAUGGGCGCAAGCCUGAUCCAGCCAUGCCGCGUGCAGGAUGAAGGCCUUCGGGUUGUAAACUGCCUUUGUACGGAACGAAAAGUCUCUUUCUAAUAAAGAGGGAUCAUGACGGUACCGUAAGAAUAAGCACCGGCUAACUACGUGCCAGCAGCCGCGGUAAUACGUAGGGUGCAAGCGUUAAUUGGAAUUACUGGGCGUAAAGCGUGCGCAGGCGGUGAUGUAAGACAGUCGUGAAAUCCCCGGGCUCAACCUGGGAACUGCAUCUGUGACUGCAUCGCUGGAGUGCGGCAGAGGGGGAUGGAAUUCCGCGUGUAGCAGUGAAAUGCGUAGAUAUGCGGAGGAACACCGAUGGCGAAGGCAAUCCCCUGGGCCUGCACUGACGCUCAUGCACGAAAGCGUGGGGAGCAAACA